UUCCUACAUGCUGGCAGAGCAGAGCAGCAGUUUGUGCUCACAGAUGGUGACGGUGUGGAGAGACGGUGGUGUUUCCUCAGAAGAACCAGCAGAGUCACAAAGGACACCAGUCCAUCUCACCACCUUGACUUGCUGACUGAUGCUCGUCUGCACUGCACAGAGGAAAUCAACUGACCGAGAUGGGCAGCAUAUCAGUCUUGGACUGUCUAACCUGCAGCACUGAAUGACCACCACACAUGAGCAUGUUCCUGCAACAUUCAGCAUCUGAUCUGUCAUCUGUGUGCUUCUGCUUUUGUGUCACAUGUCAAACAGCUGGAGAGGAAACUACACCAGUGUACUGAGAUGUUUCACCAACACGUGGCAGAUGCUGUUCCUUCAUGGUGACAUCACCAGAGACAGCCCCGCCCACCUCAGGACCUCGCCAUUGAUCAUAAUGAUUAUAAUAAUGACAGCGAGCGGAACUAAGACUGUAAAAAUCCACGACAGGAAUUUUUCUUUCUAAUUAUUAAUGAAUAGUGAGAGCCUCUUUCUGUGUUUUGUCUGUUUUGGGGUUGUUGUUUUUUUUUUACCUCAUUUGUUACUAACAAAGUUCA
ensembl:lncRNA